GCGGAGCCAGGACGGAGGGCACGAGUGAUUAAAGAGCAGGGUGCAGCCAGCAGCUGAUAACGGAGGCGGCAGCCGGGAGAAGGGAACGCGGUGCAGACGGGCUGGGGCCGAGAUAGGGCUCUCCUCGGGCCGCGAAGCCCCCGCCCGCCGCCUCCCCCGGGCUUGGGAGAGAGAUUUUGGGCUUGCGUAAGCGCGCGUCUGGGUGUGUGCAAGCACACACACACCCGCGUUCGCGCGCUGCCAAACGGGCGCUGCUCACUCGAGCGAGCCCCGCGGCAGGCGGCCGGGGGGAGGAAACGGGCCGACGGCGGCGGCCCCCCGGGAGGGCCGCGCCCCUGAAGAGGAUGAGGGCGGCUCCCUUUGGCGGGAACGGGGUGACCGGGUCUUGGUGUUCCCACACACCGCAUUUGUUUUGAUCUCGCAGCUUUUCCGCUGUUCCCGCGGCUCUGACUGUGGCCCCAGGAGCCCGAACCGGCGGGCUCCCGACCUCUCGGGCAGUCUCUUCUCCCCUGUGCCCGGCCCCUGCGCGCUCACGGGGCCGGCGAUGGGGAGCGAGGGCGCUCGGUGAGUGUGCCGCACUAGCUGGAACAACUCCGGAGUACUCCUUAGCCGCUGGCUUGACUCUGGGACUCCAAGUCCCAAAUAGCAAAGAGAUGGUGAUGCUGAAGAUAGUCCAACUCCAGGAACCCUGGUCAUGCCCCUUCUCACCAGCAGCGAGCUUCUCUUAUUCUCUAGGGCUGUGACCUGGACUCCAAGAUAAAUAUUUAAUGUAGAGGGUGCAGCAGAGCCGACCAAGGUCCCAACUUCCUGUUUCUCACGAAAGGAGCUGGCAGCCACAGGCCAGACCUUCACAGGAAGGGAAGCAACAGAAGAGGAACACAGAGACCCACUGUGAGGCUUGGAAGACUCUCCUAAGCUGACAAGGUCCUGACCUGGGCCAUCUGGGCUCCAUGAUUUUGGGUAUAGUCCCUGUAAGGUGCCAGAACUGGGGAUCAAACCCUCCAACUUUUGGUGCACAGGCUGACGCUCCAACCAACUGAGCCAUCCCGCUAGGGCUGAGCUGGUUUAAAUCUAAAGGGCUGAAGAGGUGAAGGGAAGAGGUCUUUUACUGUGAGGGUUCUCUUCCUUGAGAGGGGACUUCCUUGGCAACCUCAGCAACCAGACCGGACGCCAUCCGUCAGGCUGUCUCUCCCCUGACUUGUGGGUGACUGAACGGUAACAGCCACAGUACUGAAAAGCAAGAAAAAGCAGGUCCUUUCUAAGCACAAGGAAACAAUCCAUCACCCAGAAGAGCCUUGGAGGAGGUGCACCCCACGCUCAUCUCCUGUGCCUGGCCACCUCCUCCGUCGGGCGAGACCAGGCCCUCGGGGAGCACGCCCGCUGCGCCCACAGCCGUGGGUCCCAGCGCACAGAGGGGAGAAGCGGGGCUCCUGACAGCACCUUCCCAGGACUCCUGGCAGACGAAAACAUCCUCACCGCUGCACACCGAGGUCUGGGGCAGGCCUCCUCCUCCUCAAGUGCCCUUCACUUCAAUACGCAGAAAGAAAAUGUCACCUGGAGACAGCUCUGGCAAGGGAUCGGGGCAAUCUGGGCGAGGACUUACAGGAAGCCGGCGUGCAUGGCCCGGCUUUAGCGCUGCUCAGAGGGACAGUGGGCGUCCAUGUCCUUGCUUCUUGAUCGUGAGCCCCCCCAACUGCUCAUGUGGAUGUAGAAGAGGAUAUGCAUAACCCUGUCACAGACAAAGGUGUUCUUUCAAGUGCUGCCGAGGUUGCUGGGGUGUGAGGCCCAGGCCCCUGGGAGGGACUGUGCUCUCCAGUGUCACCUCCACCUUUGUGACUGCACAGAUGAAGGCAGCCGCCCCUGACCCUGCACACUCUGGGCCAGGCUGGUCAAGCCUCCAAGUAAUGCAGGUCCCCUCGGACACGCUGUCAGUGGCACAAAGCUCGAUGGUUAACACGGUUCCUGCUCAACUCAAGAUAAGAGCAACAACUUUUUUUUUUCCAACUAUACAGCUCUCUUCCUCUGCCUGCCCUUUCUUGGGGCUUUCCUCUGAGCACAGGCUCACAGCUUCGCUGAGGAGGCCUGUGCUGAUCAGCCCUUCGGAGCCACCACCUGGAUGCAGACAAAACUGGGAAAACUUGGCCUUGGGAAGCAUCCUUUCUAAGAUGGUAUUUCACUUCACAAGCAUUUACAAAGAAGCCCUCCAACAUGUCUAGGGAACUGAGGUAAGAAGCCGUGCAGCUUUUUCUCCCCCAGAUUAGACAAGUUGAAGAAAACAAGGUCCCGGUGGACCUUAAAGUGAAGGCGAGGAAGAAUCAGGUAUUUUUAGUAUCUGGAGCACACGCAGGCCAAGAGUUAAGGGAAGAGGCUCCGACAGCGCCAGCACUCAGAUCUCUGGCAGUGACGGAGCUGGGCAGAAAUCGGUCCUACCACAGACCCAGCAUGGGCCACCAGCCAUCUUGGGAGCUACUGUUUAGAUUAGAAUGUUAAAAAAAUAUGCUAAAACCCUCCAAUGAAAUCUAGAGUGAAGAAAUACUAUGAGUACAAUAUAGUCUUAACGCCCCUGCCCCCUAAACCGUCAGGCACAGGAGCCGGCCUGGGCGGAAGCACCGGCUGGCAGCGCCACCUGAGGAGGCAGCACCGCAGUGGCCUCCACACACAGUUUUCUGCAGCACACAGGGACAGAAAGCAGGGUUUUCUGCCAUUCCGCAGGGUUUUCAAGCCUGACUGCCUUCAAGAGCUGUUGCUGCUCUAUUUUAAGCUCCAAUUUUCUUGAACGACAACUUCCUAUCUCUCUGCUGUGGCCAAGCCUUCAACAGCUCAAAGGGUGCCCAUAAGAUACACCCUUUGGUCGUGCCUCUGUCCAGGAAGCUUGUUUUAUUGGACAGCUUCUUUUUGAGAAAACAUUCCUAAAUAAUUGUCCUUUUUACUAGCACAAUAUUACUUUUUGCUUAUAUGGAUGUAUACCAACUAUCUCACUACUUGCCUGCUGACUGAAGUCCGUAAGAAUGGUUUCUACCCGUACAGUGUGCAUGUAAAACAACCACCUCGGUGAUAAGCAGAAAGGGACGAGGGACCCCCAUCCAUCGAAUGUGUCGUGUGGGCUUUCUCUGUAGGUGAGAUUUCCAAAAUGGUGAUCUUUUCUAUACUGGGCCUGAGGGAGAGAGGAAUCUGAGGAUAUUCAGGUGAUGAAUUCCAUUUUCAUAUUUAUUUAUCCUCACCCAAGACAUUUUUUCCCCUUGCUUUUGGAGCGAGAGGAAGGGAGACGGGAAGGGAGAGAAAGAAACAUUGAUGAGAAAGAGAAACACCGACUGGUUGCCUCCUAGACUCGUCCAGACCAGGGAUCAAACCCACAGCCUUCCAUUACACACAACGUUCCAACUGACUGAGCCACACUGGCCGGGGCAUGAAUUCCAUUUCUAAAGAAGUGGCGAUCAGUAAAGGCCUCUGCUCCCUUCUUGUGUAGGUUUUGUUGGCAACCCAACAAGAGAUUUUUCAUCUCUGUCCUCGAUAGCCUUCCUUUUUCUUUUAAAUAAUUUUUAUGUAUUGAUUUUAGAGUAAGAGAAAGAAAAGAAACAUCGAUUUGUUGUUCUACUUAGUUAUGCAUUCACUGAUUGAUUCUUAUAU